GUAGUUGUUCCAGAAAGCCCAUGGGGGAAAAAAUCACACCCAUGUGGUGGGCAGAGUCAGAUUCAAUAUCCUCCUGGGCCGCCGCAUCCUGGGCGUCAGUUCCCUCCCCCGGCAGAUCUCUCCCCGGGCCUGAGCCCCUGUAUCCAGGACUUUAUGGGGCAUGUCCAUGUGAGUGUCCCACAGGCACCUCAGACUCAACAGGCUGGACAUAUAACUCAUCGCCUCCCCCCAAAACAGAAUCUACUCCCCGUCCCUCGCCUCAGAGACCCCGCUUUCUAGAUCCAUCAACAGCACCUAAUCCGUUGGAUUUCACUCCCUAAAUAGCCCUUAAGGAGCCCGGAAAGCUGAACGCUUUUCUCCAUCCUCCCCCUGCCAGUCUACUCCAGCUGCCGCCUCUCUCCAGGCCACCCGCUCUGCUGCCUCAUCUCUUGGGUCCUCUGACCCGCAGUUUCCUCUCCUCCACUCCCCCCCGCACCCCGGCUGCCCUCCCUUCCCCGCUUCUGUGCUGUAGCGACCGCCUGGACCCGCGUCCAACAUGGAGACCCCUCGCACCCACGCGGCCAUCGGGCCCUUGAAAUGUGGCCGGUCCAAACGGACAUGUGCUGUAAGCAUAAAAUACACGCCGGAUUUCAAAGUGCCUAUUAGAAAAUGUAAAACUACACAUGUGGCUCACGUUGCAUUUCUACUGGACAGCGCUGCCGUGGACGUCCCUUCAAGCCUGCAUUUAAACAUCACCUCCGCGAAGCCUGCCUGGCUGCCCCAGCUGCUCCUGCUCCUCGCGGGUCUUCACCCGGCUCCACUUGAAGGAAAUCCGUCAACACCAAGCUGACUGCAGGGCCUGCUGGUGACCAGGUGUAAAGAAAUACGGUUGAGUGGGGGCCGGCCCAGUGGCACAUCAGUUACGUGCACACGUUCUGCUUCGGCGACCCAGGGUUCGCCGGUUUGGAUCCCGGGUGUAGACAUGGCACCGCUUGGC
rnacentral:lncRNA from 1 species